UACGUAGGGUGCGAGCGUUGUCCGGAAUUACUGGGCGUAAAGAGCUCGUAGGUGGUUUGUCGCGUUGUUCGUGAAAACUCACAGCUUAACUGUGGGCGUGCGGGCGAUACGGGCAGACUAGAGUACUGCAGGGGAGACUGGAAUUCCUGGUGUAGCGGUGGAAUGCGCAGAUAUCAGGAGGAACACCGGUGGCGAAGGCGGGUCUCUGGGCAGUAACUGACGCUGAGGAGCGAAGGCGUGGGGAGCGAACAGG
rnacentral:rRNA from 1 species